rnacentral:rRNA from 1 species
UACGUAGGGGGCUAGCGUUGUCCGGAAUUAUUGGGCGUAAAGCGCACGUAGGCGGCUUAGCAAGUCGGAAGUGAAAGCCCUCGGCUCAACCAAGGAAGUGCUUUCGAAACUGCUGAGCUUGAAUACUUAAGAGGAUCGCGGAAUUCCCGGUGUAGAGGUGAAAUGCGUAGAUAUCUGGAGGAACACCGGUGGCGAAGGCGACAUCCUGGACCGGUAUUGACGCUGAGGCGCGAAAGCCAGGGGAGCAAACGGG